UUGGUAAAGGGAAAGAAGUAUCAAUAUUAUGAAUUUGUUUGCCUUGUUGAACUUUUCACCACCACAUCACCAUCAUCCUCAUUGUCAUUGUCAGUAUCAUCUUAGUGAUGUGUUUGCAUUCUUAUAUGUGGUUCCUGCGGCUGACAAGGGGAUGUAACGUAUUUCCUGAGAAGAACUCAGGCAGUGAGAACACAAGAUCAGAGGAGUCCAUUUCAAGCUUUUUGGUCACAGCAAGGUGCGAGUCCAACUGCUGGCUCUGGCAUGCUAUUUCUCAAAGCAUUAAGGCUCAUCACAACAUGGGUCUGCUCUCCAGUGUGGAUCGCAUAUCUCCAUCUGUGCGUUAAUCAUGUUCUUGCAGAGAAGUACAUCAGAGUCAAAUGUAAUGAAGGAGACAGAGUCCACCUUCGAUCCACGAGAAACAUCACUGUGAUGCCAGGGGACGAUGUGAGGUGGACUGUUAACACGUUGUUGGUAAAAAAAGGAAUUGUACAGAGUUCAAACGGAAAGCAUACAGUGUCUGAUGAGGGGGGUCUGAUUAUAUGCUGGUAUCACAAAAGUGAUUCUGGGUUAUAUAAAGUUGAAAUAUUCAACAGUUAUGGAGGACGAAAAAUCAAUCAAUCAUUUAAUCUCACGAUCAAUGACUCAUUUCAGAAAGUGACCGAACAUUGCAACAGAAUUGAUACAACUGAAAAUCCACCAUGUGAUUUCAGAAGAGGACACUUUUCAACCAUUGCGGCCCUGUCAUUCUUUCUAACCACAACUCUAGUCAUGUUUGUUAUGGCAAUGAGGAAGACUCCACUAACGAAGCAAGAAGAUACUGCUGGGAAUGUGUACCAGACGAUGCAUGGUAGCUUACCAAAAACAUCUCCAGAUGCAGCCAGCAAUGUGUACCAGACGAUGCAUGGUAACUCACCAAAAACAUCUCCAGAUGCAGCCAGCAAUGUGUACCAGGACAUGCAUGGUAGCUUACCAAGAAAGACUCCCACACCCGACAGAACCGCUUUGGAUCAGAAUUCCUCACUUUAUGCUAUCCCAAAGAGAAACAGCACAAAGAGAGAUGCAGCCAGCAAUGUGUACCAGACGAUGCAUGGUAACUCACCAAAAACAUCUCCAGAUGCAGCCAGCAAUGUGUACCAGACGAUGCAUGGUAACUCACCAAAAACAUCUCCAGAUGCAGCCAGCAAUGUGUACCAGACGAUGCAUGGUAGCUUACCAAGAAAGACUCCCACACCCGACAGAACCGCUUUGGAUCAGAAUUCCUCACUUUAUGCUAUCCCAAAGAGAAACAGCACAAAGAGACAUACUGCUGAGUUUGAGGACGUAUACGUUUAACAGUAACAUCAUCAUCAUCAUCAUCAUCAUCAGCAGCAGCAGCAGCUUCUUCUUCUUCUUCUUCGUCAUCAUCCAAGCCACCCCCAUUGUUAACAUACGCAUACACAAAGGAUAAAUGGAAUUUUUAGUUUUCUUAAUAUUCCUCCAGCUCUUCUUCAACCAGUAGGUGGCACUGUGUUGUCUUCCUAGUUCACUAGACUAGUGCCAGGCAUUCAAUAGCCUGCUGCAGCUUGCAAUUUAGUCUACUUACAGUAGGCUAUUUUAUUAAAGUGUAUAAUGUGCUUGUGGUUUUAUCAGCUUUAUGAUUAGGUUAGCCAUAUUGUAGUUGUUUAUAUUGGUAUGAUUUUAAAUAAUUUUGAAAUAUUUGUACUGAUCAUAUACUGCCAGAAUAUGUAGGCUACAUUUAAUAUUAUGAAAUAUUGCAAUACAUUUUCUUAUGUGUCAUGCACCCAGAGAGGAUAUUUUGGAGUCUUUGGGUACAUCAUAUCCAACAUGAUAUCAUCUAAAUGUGUCUAAAAAGCUUGUUGUAAUCAUUUUGUUAAAUUUUAAAUUGAAUCAAAAAUGGCAUCUGUAAAAUGUUAUAAAUACACCCAAACAUCUUAAAUGAGAUGCAGAUAGCACCUUUACUGUUCCAAUAAAAUUGUAUUUUAAAAUGAGUUGUUUUAUAAA
ensembl:lncRNA